AAAUUAAUGCACUGACUAAUAAGGCAAAUUGUUAAAACUUUAGAUUUUACUGGGACACAGCAGAUUUAUAAGGGAGACUUGGUAUGGUUGUAACACUUUUUUCUUCAGCACCUAAAAUUACCUUUUUUUUUUGCUACACGUCUGAAACUUUUAGGCAAAGUACCCAUAUUUUUCUACUACAAAUGGCAACAAUUAAAAUGUUCUUCAACUAUAUCACAGACUUGUGAGAUGAUGACAAAUUCAAGGUGGUCUUUUGGUACAACUAAUCCCACUACUGGGGUAGGUUGUAACAGACACUGGGUGACGCUGCCGACACCAGAGAAGACCAGUCAGGAUAGAAUCCAUGGAUUCAGGUGUCGUGUUCACUGUUAUGAAGGUGACAUUUGUGUGAUGGAGAGAUUAAAAAUGUAUUUGUAAACAUGAGAUUAGUUCACAACUGAUCUUUCUCAUUGGCCUUCAAGAAGACAGUGGAAAUUCCUUUCAAUUCCACAAACAAGUUCCAGGUAAAAUAUUUAACAUGGAACAUUUGGUUAACAUUGAGAAACAAAUCUAUGUCAACUUGUUACAGGAAUUCUGUGAGUAUUUUUUUUUUUACAUUGAUUCACGGAACAGAUGAAGGUCAGGGGGUGGUUUUUAUAAAUAUUGGCAGAAGCAGCUCAGUAAAUGAUUAAUUUGAAGAACUCAACAAGAAAAAAAGAAAACUUCCCCUCCUUUCCACCCACCUCUUUUUUCCUUUUCUUUUCUUCUCUCUGGUGGUGAGUAGCUGUCAGUACAUGAGCUGGAAGACCCCCUCGACUUGCACUACCUGCUGGUGAUGAAGGGAGCCCCAGAGAGGAUCCUGGAGCAUUGUCAACCAUCCUAAUCAAAGGCCAGGAGUUGCCUCUGGACGAGCAAUGGAAAGAGGCCUUCCAAACUGCAUACAUGGACCUGGGGAGCCUAGGGGAGAGAGUGCUGGAACUCAGGGCGGAGCUCAUCCACCCCAGGGGCC